rnacentral:rRNA from 1 species
GACGAACGCUGGCGGCGUGCUUAACACAUGCAAGUCGAACGGAAAGGCCCUGCUUUUGUGGGGUGCUCGAGUGGCGAACGGGUGAGUAACACGUGAGUAACCUGCCCUUGACUUUGGGAUAACUUCAGGAAACUGGGGCUAAUACCGGAUAGGAGCUCCUGCUGCAUGGUGGGGGUUGGAAAGUUUCGGCGGUUGGGGAUGGACUCGCGGCUUAUCAGCUUGUUGGUGGGGUAGUGGCUUACCAAGGCUUUGACGGGUAGCCGGCCUGAGAGGGUGACCGGCCUCAUGGGGACUGCGAUACGGCCCAGACGCCUACGGGAGGCAGCAGUGGGGAAUCUUGCACAAUGGGCGGAAGCCUGAUGCAGCAACGCCGCGUGCGGGAUGACGGUCUUCGGGUUGUAAACCGCUUUCGCCUGUGACGAAGCGUGAGUGACGGUAAUGGGUAAAGAAGCACCGGCUAACUACGUG